rnacentral:tRNA from 1 species
GUUCUUGUAAUUUAAAACAAAAUAUUGGUCUUGUAAACCAAAACUAAGAGAUUCUUCCAGAACA